rnacentral:rRNA from 1 species
UACGUAGGGGGCAAGCGUUGUCCGGAUUUAUUGGGCGUAAAGCGCUCGCAGGCGGUCCCGUGCGUCGUGCGUGAAAGGCCCCGGCUCAACUGGGGAGGGUCAUUCGAUACUGAUCGACUCGAAGGCAGGAGAGGGAAGUGGAAUUCCCGGUGUAGUGGUGAAAUGCGUAGAUAUCGGGAGGAACACCAGUGGCGAAGGCGACUUCCUGGCCUGUUCUUGACGCUGAGGCGCGAAAGCUAGGGGAGCAAACGGG